AGCUCCAAUAGCGUAUAUUAAAGUUGUUGCAGUUAAAAAGCUCGUAGUUGGAUUUCUGCGCCGCGCAGCUCGGUCCGCCGCACUGCGGUGCGACUGCGGCUGGAGCGUCGCAUCCUUGUGGGGACUGUUGUUUGCCAUUAAUUUGGUGACUUCAGGAACCGCAUCGUUUACUGUGAAAAAAUUAGAGUGUUCAAAGCAGGCUUCAUCAAGCCCGGAUACAUGAGCAUGGAAUAAUGGAAUAGGACCGCGGUUCUAUUUUGUUGGUUUCUACGACCGCAGUAAUGAUUAAGAGGGACAAUUGGGGGCGUCCGUAUUUCGUUGUCAGAGGUGAAAUUCUUGGAUUUACGAAAGACGAACAACUGCGAAAGCAUUCGCCAAGAGUGUUUUCAUUAAUCAAGAA
rnacentral:rRNA from 1 species